GCUCACAUAGCUAAGCGGUUAAGGCACUGCACUUGUAAUGCAGAGAUCUCCGGUUCAAUUCCGGAUGUGAGCU